rnacentral:rRNA from 1 species
UACGUAGGGUGCGAGCGUUAAUCGGAAUUACUGGGCGUAAAGCGUGCGCAGGCGGUUUUGUAAGCCAGAUGUGAAAUCCCCGGGCUUAACCUGGGAAUGGCAUUUGGGACUGCAAGGCUUGAGUUUGGCAGAGGAGACUGGAAUUCCUGGUGUAGCGGUGGAAUGCGCAGAUAUCAGGAGGAACACCGGUGGCGAAGGCGGGUCUCUGGGCCGUUACUGACGCUGAGGAGCGAAAGCGUGGGGAGCGAACAGG